rnacentral:sRNA from 1 species
GCUGGGCAUGGUGGUGCAGGCCUGUAAUCCCAGAGACUCAGGAAGCUGAGGCAGGAGCACCACAAAUUCAAAGCCAGCCUCAGCAAAUUGGUGAGACCCUGUCUCAA